CGUACUGGUGUUACUGAUUUCUACCUUCUGACGAACCAUCAUGUCAUUAAUUUGGUGUGGGGGGAAUCAGGACUGUUACUUUGAAAAAAUUAGAGUGUUUAAAGCAGGCUCGCGCUUGAAUACAUUAGCAUGGAAUAAUGAAAUAGGACGUUGAUCCUAUUUUGUUGGUUUCUAGGAUUGACGUAAUGAUUAAUAGGGAUAGUUGGGGGCAUUAGUAUUCAAUUGUCAGAGGUGAAAUUCUUGGAUUUAUUGAAGACUAACUACUGCGAAAGCAUUUGCCAAGGAUGUUUUCAUUAAUCAAGAACGAAAGUUAGGGGAUCGAAGACGAUCAGAUACCGUCGUAGUCUUAACCAUAAACUAUGCCGACUAGGGAUCGGAUGAUGUUAUUUUUAAUGACUCAUUCGGCGCCUUACG
rnacentral:rRNA from 1 species